rnacentral:hammerhead_ribozyme from 1 species
AUCCAACUGACGAGUCCCAAAUAGGACAAAACAUGCAUCCUGGAU